rnacentral:rRNA from 1 species
AUUGAACGCUGGCGGCAUGCCUUACACAUGCAAGUCGAACGGCAGCACGGGGCAACCUGGUGGCGAGUGGCGAACGGGUGAGUAAUGCAUCGGAACGUACCUUUCAGUGGGGGAUAACGUAGCGAAAGUUACGCUAAUACCGCAUAUUCUGUGAGCAGGAAAGCAGGGGAUCGCAAGACCUUGCGCUGAUUGAGCGGCCGAUGUCAGAUUAGCUAGUUGGUGAGGUAAAGGCUCACCAAGGCGACGAUCUGUAGCGGGUCUGAGAGGAUGAUCAGUCACACUGGAACUGAGACACGGUCCAGACUCCUACGGGAGGCAGCAGUGGGGAAUAUUGGACAAUGGGCGAAAGCCUGAUCCAGCCAUGCCGCGUGUGUGAAGAAGGUCUUCGGAUUGUAAAGCACUUUAAGUCGGGAGGAAGGGCUGUAGGUUAAUACCCUGCAGUUUUGACGUUACCGACAGAAUAAGCACCGGCUAACUUCGUGCCAGCAGCCGCGGUAAAAC